CCGAGCAGAGUAGCCAAUUUACCCUUCGUUGCUCUCACUCUCCUUUCUAAUUUUCUCUUCCUCCCCAUCGCCGGCAUGGUGCCUGCUCCCCUUCGUGGCCACAGCCAGCGCCGUUGCACUGUUCCGCACCCACCCUCCUCCCCCUCUUCCGUUUCUCUGCCACGACACUGUUUCCCUACGCGGGUUCUCUCCCAUUCCCCAUCAUUAGGCGGCCACGCUAUGGCAUCAGAGCGGGGCGCACGCCGAUCUGCGUGCGGCGGUUGGGGUGGCGGCGACGACGUCGGCGUGGAGGCAGGGCAGCAAGCAGGGAGAGGGGCGCACCCUCUAAAUUCCCCAUCAGCAGGCGGCGGCUCCAUGGCAUCGGGGCGGGGCGCGACCUCGGAAGGCAAUUGGGGUGGCGGCGAUGGCGUCGGUGUGGAAGCGGGCCGAAGGGAUUUGCGGGCGAUAGCAGUGACUUGCGCGACGCCGGCGAUUGGUCGUCCCUCCCCUUCGCUGGCCCUUGGAGGCUAUGGCGACGGCGGUUUCAUCCGUGUGUGCCCUCACCAAGCCCAUAGCCCAUACAAUCCAACAGGCCAGCAUACAGCACUGCUCCGACUUUGCUCGCUCGCUCUGACUCCGAGAUUCGAUUGCCUCUCUCUCGAAGUCUCGAUUCGGAAGGGUUAACUCGCACAGCGGCAGGCGGCGCGACAUCCGUAUCGAGUAACGAGGGCGGAUCAGCAGUCAGCGAAGCACGAUAGCGGUCGGCGGCCUGCGGGAAGCGUAUCAGCGGGAACGGCCAGGCCAGGGUCAACGACGGCGGACCAGCCUAGGCCGAUGCCCCGGUGGGUGAAUGAGCUCGAUGGGAGGUACUCCCGCCCCCUCCACCCUCUUCAUCUCUCUCUCGGGUGGAAGCCGAGGGACGCCGAGGCUUCAUGCUCUACAUGGAUGGAGGCACCACGGUCACAAUCGUGGCAGCGUCCAUGGUGUCAAAGGGCGGCAACAAAGGCAAGCAGGGUGACGCGGCCGUGGCGAGGUGGCGGUGAGCAGAAUCUGGGAGUGGGAGUGGCCGACGAAGAUGGAGUCUAGCAGCACCACACCACCAACCAAGAAAUGAGCUAUCACAGUGCGCAUAAGCAACGUCGGUUACCAUCUCCAGCGUGCCAUGGGAUUGACCACGAGCCGUGCAGACUAUAACAAGAACGGUGGCGUGCACGCAAUGCCCUCGAUGAUCUUGAUGCCGUUGUGUCACAGAGCUUUAGCUUGCUGCCUCAGAGUGUCACGAAGAACCUCUCAUUUGGAACUGAAGCUUUCUGGCUUGUGCAACAAAGGAAUUCAGGUGUUGGUUUUAUUGCUAGAUAUGACACGAAGAAAAUAGCAAGUAUUUUGUAUUCGUUAUCUCAUAUAAAAUAGUUAGGUAUUUGGUAUGUAUUACACUGCAAUGACAAUCUAGAUGUAUUGAUAUACAAUGCCAUUCAUGGAGUAAGCAUUGCAUAUACUUGCUUUGUCUUAAUUAAUCGAAACUUCCUAUGUUUUCCUACAAGGCAUUUACUUUCUUAUUGCUACAAAAAUGCAUCAACCAGAACGGUAGAUUUCCUACAUAUCACUAUAAAUAGGUUCCCAACUGAAUGUUUUUAUUUAACAUUCUAGCAUAAUCUUGGUGAGAUGUGAUUAUGGAAGGUUUGGGCCUUUAUGGUGCUUCUCUCUAUUGCAUCUGCACUACACAUGAAUUGAGAAAUAUAUAUUGAUUCUUUCAUGCAAUUGAGUUUUCCUUUAUUCAAGCAAGGAAACAAUUAAUGAUAUGUCCAAAUGUUCGUUUCUUAUACUGAACUAUUUAGUAACUUCAGUUCAGUUCUGAUUUGCCCAUGCAUGUUGUACAUUCAUGUUUCACAGAGUAGAUGUAUUUGUUGUUCUUUGAUUCUAUAUCAAACCUCUUCUAGCACAGGUCAUAGCUGUUGACAUGAAUUUCCCUCGCUCUAGAAAUAUAUUUUCAUGUCAAGAGAUGCCAUGCCUGUAGGUCGAACUGUCCAAGCACCAAAGCUAGAACUGCUAAUGAAUUGUUCAUGUGGGAAGACCAUAUUCUUAUUCUUAUAUCUGUCACUUGAACUGCUAAUUAGCAUAUAUUUUAGUUACAUUACAAAUCACUGCAACGGAGUGAAUUAAUCAUCUCUAUAGAGAACCUUUCAAUUAAGAGAUGGGAUCACCAAAAGUCAUAGCAAUACAUAUCGCUGCAAAAAAAGGCAUUAACCAUCCCUAUUAAGGGACGCAAUCACCAAAAUUCCUAUGCAAUAUCUUUUUUUACCUCUCAAUUUGCAGCAAGAGAUUAUUCAAGAGGAAAACAUUUGACAUUUUUUUUACCUUAUUCCUUUUCAAAGAAUUGGCAUUAAUCAUCCCUAUGCGAAGUCAUUAUGGAAGAUGAAAGAUCAGGGAAAUCAUUCGAGUUAACAAACCUAUGGAUCAUCUCAAAUAACUGUUCUGGGUAUAUAGUUCAGUUCCAUGUAAAUAUUAACCUCGGUAUUUUUUCAAUGCAGAUAUUUCUUAUGCAUGUACAUGUGUCUCAGUAUUUGAGACCCCAACAGAAGAUUUCCAAUAUCUACUUCAAUGCUGGUAUGCAACAUGAUCUGUGAGUAGAGCUUAGUAGGCAACCUUUUAAUAUAUGUGAUAGCAUAGCCUUUUUUUUAAUAUGGUAACAUCGUAUUUUACUAUUUUAGAGAGCUAUUUGUAGAAGGAUAAAACUGAAAUCAACCCAAGGUACGGAUGAGUAAGUAGUGGUACUAUUGUGUUGUUCUCUCCAUUUAUUAAGACGUGAUAUAGUUCCCAGUGGUACUAUUGUGUUGUUUUCCUAACUUGCUCUUACUCUUAGAGAUUUUAAAGUCUGCCCAUGCAUUUCUACGUGAUGAAAGCACCAAAUCCUUUCUUGAUUCGGUUCGAGAUACUCAUAGCAUGAAAGACACAUUGACAAUUACUACUGGUGUGGUACCAUUUCACCACUCAUUAGAUAAAGUCUUAGGAAAAUUGAGCUACCAAAAAUGUUGUGUUUCUGGUAGCGUAACAGAGUACAUGCUCCUCAAUUUUAUCUUUGAUUUAUCCAACUGCAUGUUUGGUCAUGCACGCCAAACGGGAGGGGAAAUCAGUGUCCUGCACUUGAACAACACCGGAGUAACAACAAAGCACAACAUGGAGGGUGUUGUAUGAGUACAUCGACCGAAAAUGACAAUACCGGAAGUGAUAUGUGUUGUUUGAGUUCUCUACUUCAUGGUGUCCAUUGAAAUCUGGAUGACAAAAAAAGCAUAUGUAACAAGCCUACAAUGUUUGUAUCAUGUUGCCAGCCAGAUUACUUAAUUACUAUAUCGUCCAAACGAUGAGCAUAUUUUUGGUGAAUAAGUUCGAGUAGUUCAAAAUUAUUGGAUUUAGUCUUUUCUACUAAUUUUUGUACGUGUUCUGAUUGAUGCUCUAUAUUUCUCUCUCUCAAUAUCUCAAGGAAGGGAAGGUCAAAUGAUGCCCAACUAGGUAAUACAGUAAUGUUGUGUGUGCUGUCCAGAAAGUAAGAUCAGUUGGAAAUUAUUGAUGUUGCUGCUGCAUGUUGUAUCAAUUUUAUUUGUGUUUCGGCAGUUCUUUGUCAAUGAUAUGUAUGUGUUUUUCUCUUCUUAGGGUUUAGGUAGCAGAGAUUAUGGUGAAAAACUAAUCAUCAAAAUUAUUUUCAGUAUUUUAUAUAUCAAUGUAUAUAUGACAUAUAUCUUACAUGUAUCCCCUUAUGUAGAGCACCCUUGGGUGAGGAUAUAAUUAUGG